AGAAACAAACUCACCCAGAUCUUGGAUGACCUGAGGAUCGGCCUGACGGGCAGGAGAGGUCACGAGGAGAUGUCACAGGUCACGGAGAGCCCCCAAUCACGCUUUAGCCUCAACAUUUUGACAUGCGCCCAAUGAUUGCCUCAGAGAGAGAGAGAGAGAGUCAUGUGACCCGGCAGAAAACUCCAAUUAGAGCGCGGAGGUUACAAGUUCUUGGAAACCGAAGGGAUGUGAGUCACAGUGUGAAGUGCAAAACCUUGGAAAAUGCUUUUAAUCACCGAUUCGAAGCUCCUGACUUUUUCGGCAACUGCUGCCAAACCCAUGUGACAUGAAGUACCUUAAAGUGUUUUAAGACUUGAAUUCUUACUGCCACAUGUGAAGGACGAUAUGAGACACUGCGCUUCUGUCCGAGAGAAAGCAUGUGUUGAGCGAUGGAGAGCUGAGAUUCGGAGGAGAGAGUGGGUCACCUGGAGUCCAGAGACUAUAAAUGAGGUUUACACGAGUCCUGUGAAAGAGGUAUUCAUUAACCGUGAUGUUUGCAUGGUGACUAAAGCUGAAGGAAUCUGUCAAUUCAACUCCACUUGAGCUCAGUGAAAGCUUUAAUGGUUUACAGCAGCGAAUGCAUGAUGAUCUAAACCAGUGUUGAUGCUCCUGGCGUCCUUCAUACGGAUUAUUCUGAUGUAAUGCAAUCAAACUUAAUGAAUAAUUCACUCCAAAAUCAAACUUUUGUAAUUAUUUACUUGUCCUCGUGUCAUUGCGUGGAAAAGAGUUGCUUCAAAACUUCAGGUUCAGUGCAUUUACACCACAAUGAUGUGCUACAAACAGAAAGUUUUUCCUAAAACGUUGUCAAAAUUAUUAAUGUUUGCAUGGAUCAGUGAAAAACAACUUUAAAAAACGCUUUAUAAUGCAUUGUCAGGAGUCAUUUUAUAAAGACACACAUAACACAGAUGUUUAAUUGAGAUUUCGUAGUUUACAUUAAGAAAAUAUGGGUGUUGUUU